CGCUCUGGUAACAUCUUCCCGCUGCACAUAUUUCCCGCCUUAAAGAGUUUAAAAGGUGAUCAAAAAAUCUAACACUGGCCACCCGCUCGGGACACCUUCCACGCUGUGGAAGCUUUGUACUGUCAUUCUGCUCAGUAAAGCCUACAGCCUUUUUUCUCUCGGUCGGGUCCACGUCUCUCUCUCUUGCCGCGGGCUGCCGCCACCCCAACCCUUUGGCGUGGCUAAGGCAACAACCUUUGGUGUUACCCUGGUUUGCAAAGAGUCCUGGAACUGUGUGAUAACUUGCCCAGAAAAUCUUCUUGUGGAAUCUGUCUUUACAUGGAAAAGACUUGGCAAUAUUUGUACAGCAACUGGAAGAAAGGUCUUUGCUGAGAUAUACAAAGAGGCAGAAUGUGUGUGGAUCACCGAUUAGACAAGGCGAAUAGGAGCAGAAUAGAAGAGGAAUGGAAUAGAACUCAAGAUGAUAAAACAUACUGUGUCCAGAAUUUAUUCCUUCCAGUGGGCUGUUGGUCUCACUGACUUUAAGAAUGAAGCUGCGGACCCUCGUG
rnacentral:lncRNA from 10 species